GUGGGGAAUAUUGCACAAUGGGCGCAAGCCUGAUGCAGCAACGCCGCGUGAGGGAUGACGGCCUUCGGGUUGUAAACCUCUUUUAGUAGGGAAGAAGCGAAAGUGACGGUACCUGCAGAAAAAGCACCGGCUAACUACGUGCCAGCAGCCGCGGUAAUACGUAGGGUGCAAGCGUUGUCCGGAAUUAUUGGGCGUAAAGAGCUCGUAGGCGGCUUGUCGCGUCUGCGGUGAAAACCCGAGGCUCAACCUCGGGCCUGCAGUGGGUACGGGCAGGCUAGAGUGCGGUAGGGGAGAUUGGAAUUCCUGGUGUAGCGGUGGAAUGCGCAGAUAUCAGGAGGAACACCGAUGGCGAAGGCAGAUCUCUGGGCCGUAACUGACGCUGAGGAGCGAAAGCAUGGGGAGCGAACAGGAUUAGAUACCCGGGUAGUCC
rnacentral:rRNA from 1 species